UUUCAGUUGCUCCCGGCGGAGCAGGGGCGUGCAGCUCAGCGGCCACCGAGCCUCUGGGGCUCGCCCGGCCGCUCCUCGCGCUCCCAGCCGCCUGUGACGCCUGUUGGGGCCAAGCUGCUGCGGUUCCCUCCGCAGACAGACGCGCCGCGCCAGCCUCACGAGCCCUGCACCAACUUCUGCCCGACAAGCCCAACUUCUGCGCCGGGUUCGGACUUGCGGAGCCGGAACGGCGCACCGCGCGCAGCCCGGGCGGCGGCCAGGGCGGAUCAGCCUCGCCGAGAUGUCCUCGCGACUGUGGCUCUGGUGCUUCUGCGCCUGGGCGGUUGCCGGCUGGCCGCCAGGAAGCGCCCUACAGCUCCGGCUGGGCAUGCCAAGUGUUUGUGAAGAACAGCAAGUGACUGGUUGGACUUGCACACCCAUGUGUUUGGGCAUUCACACACAUUGUCAAGCUCUGCAAACAAGGCUGUACUGGCUCAAGUUGGUAUGUGAGCUAUGAAAGAAGGUCCUCUUUUCCGUCUUCUCAUUCCUGUGGAUCUGUCCUGUAGCCUUUCCACGCUAUCCUCAGGCUCAUCUGUUUUCUGAAGAUGGGGAAAAGCCCUUUGGA
rnacentral:sRNA from 1 species